rnacentral:rRNA from 1 species
AGUGAACGCUGGCGGUAGGCCUAACACAUGCAAGUCGAACGGCAGCACAGUAAGAGCUUGCUCUUACGGGUGGCGAGUGGCGGACGGGUGAGGAAUACAUCGGAAUCUACUUUUUCGUGGGGGAUAACGUAGGGAAACUUACGCUAAUACCGCAUACGGCCUACGGGUGAAAGCAGGGGAUCUUCGGACCUUGCGCGAUUGAAUGAGCCGAUGUCGGAUUAGCUAGUUGGCGGGGUAAAGGCCCACCAAGGCGACGAUCCGUAGCUGGUCUGAGAGGAUGAUCAGCCACACUGGAACUGAGACACGGUCCAGACUCCUACGGGAGGCAGCAGUGGGGAAUAUUGGACAAUGGGCGCAAGCCUGAUCCAGCCAUACCGCGUGGGUGAAGAAGGCCUUCGGGUUGUAAAGCCCUUUUGUUGGGAAAGAAAUCCAGCCGGCGAAUACCUGGUUGGGAUGACGGUACCCAAAGAAUAAGCACCGGCUAACUUCGUG